CCUACGGGCGGCUGCAGUGGGGAAUAUUGGACAAUGGGCGAAAGCCUGAUCCAGCCAUGCCGCGUGUGUGAAGAAGGCCUUCGGGUUGUAAAGCACUUUCAGUGGGGAAGAAAGCCUUGGGGCUAAUACCCUCGAGGAAGGACAUCACCCACAGAAGAAGCACCGGCUAACUCCGUGCCAGCAGCCGCGGUAAUACGGAGGGUGCGAGCGUUAAUCGGAAUUACUGGGCGUAAAGCGCGCGUAGGCGGUCUGAUAAGCCGGUUGUGAAAGCCCCGGGCUCAACCUGGGAACGGCAUCCGGAACUGUCAGGCUAGAGUGCAGGAGAGGAAGGUAGAAUUCCCGGUGUAGCGGUGAAAUGCGUAGAGUUCGGGAGGAAUACCAGUGGCGAAGGCGGCCUUCUGGACUGACACUGACGCUGAGGUGCGAAAGCGUGGGUAGCAAACAGGAUUAGAUACCCGAGUAGUC
rnacentral:rRNA from 1 species